rnacentral:lncRNA from 1 species
GCAUGGCGGCUCACAUCUGUAAUCCCAGCACUUUGGGAGGCCAAGGUGGGAGCACUGCUUGAGCCCAGGAGUUUGAGGUUUGAGAACAGCCUGGGAAAAAAGGCAAGACCCCCCAUCUCUAGAAACAUAUAUAUAUAUAAUGUAUCUAUGAGCCAGGCAUGAUGGUGCAUGCCUAUAGUGCCAACUACUCAGGAGGCUGAGGUGGGAGAAUCCCUUGAGCCCCGAAGUGUGAGGCUGCAGUGAGCCAUGAUUACACCACUGCACUUUAGCCUGGGCAACACUGUAAGACACUAUUUCAAAAAAAUAAAAAUAAAAUAAAAUGAUAAUACCAAAA